UGCGUAGGUGGCGCUGUAAGUGGGGUGUGAAAUCCCGGGGCUUAACUCCGGAACUGCAUUCCAUACUGCGGUGCUUGAGGACUGGAGAGGAGACUGGAAUUUACGGUGUAGCAGUGAAAUGCGUAGAGAUCGUAAGGAAGACCAGUGGCGAAGGCGGGUCUCUGGACAGUUCCUGACACUGAGGCACGAAGGCCAGGGAAGGCAAACG
rnacentral:rRNA from 1 species